rnacentral:rRNA from 1 species
UACGGGGGGAGCAAGCGUUGUUCGGAUUUACUGGGCGUAAAGGGCGCGUAGGCGGGAUGGCAAGUCAGUCGUGAAAUCUCUCGGCUCAACCGAGAAACGUCGGCUGAUACUGCCGUUCUUGAGGGAUGCAGAGGAGACUGGAAUUCCCGGUGUAGCGGUGAAAUGCGCAGAUAUCAGGAGGAACACCGGUGGCGAAGGCGGGUCUCUGGGCCGAUACUGACGCUGAGGAGCGAAAGCGUGGGGAGCGAACAGG